GGCCGGGGUGGGGGUGUCUCGCCGCGCGCGCCCUCCUCCCGCUCCUCCGGGUUCCUGGUCCCCAGCCUGUGGGGGGCUUGGGCUGUAGCGCUGGGGCGGGGGCUUUAGAUCACCCCGAAAACAGGACCUCUGGCGACCUUCUCGUUUUCCACCGGGAGCGGAGAGAGCCGAUCUCCUUUUCCUGCUAGCCCCGUAGGACAGUCCCCGGAGCAGCUCAUAGGAAUAUGACGAACGUUUACUCAGGGCUGGUUACUAUGUACACUGCGCCCCGCGCGCGGCGAGUUUACCUCGGUUCACCUCCCGGCAACCGGCGGCCCGGAUAUUAUCAGAUGCUGUGGGCUUCCCGGCGCCUCAUUGCCCGAGGAGAGGCGGCCGCAGGUAGCUGAGCUGGAGCUAGCACAAGAUCCCUUGUCCUCUGACUUACAGUUGAAUUCACCAAAUAGAAGACAUUGGAAAUGAGACCCGAGGGUUGGAGGAGGAGGAAGCCUGCAAUGUGAACACGAUGGCUGGAGCUCCGGCAGCCAUUCUGGACCAGGAGGUAGCCUUGAAGAUGGAAGCCACAUGUUGGGAUGGUGAAUCCAAAAGAUGAGGAGCCUGUAUCCCCUGUGACACCAGAACUGCCAUACCAGCCCUGGGUUCCUCCAUCUAUACUGCCUUCAUAUGGUAAAGAAAUAUUCUUGGAUCUUGUUAGGUGUCUGUUGCAGCCAAACACAAUCCCAACUGAUAUUCACUGUAAAUGAUUCCAUGGCUCCCUGUAGUACUUCUACAAAGCAUCUAUCACAAUUGUAAUUAAUAAAAUAAUUAUGCAAUUACUGGUUUAAUGCCUAAGUCCCAAGUAGAAUAUCAGUUCCAUGGGGGCAGGGAUUAGUCUGUUCAUGGAUGUAUUCCCAGCUCCUGUAACAACAUCUGGUUCUGGUAGGUGGUAAGUGCACAAUAAAUGUA
rnacentral:lncRNA from 10 species